rnacentral:ribozyme from 13 species
AAUUAUUUGUCUGUUUCUCGAUCUUACAAUUAUUAUCAUCGGUUCUCUCUUUCUUACUUUCACUGUUUUCCCCUUCUAUUGCUCUUACGCAGGUCCUUCGACAUGCCUCACGAGCGAGAAAGAGAGAGGUAUUUAGAAGAAGAUUAGUGAAUGUGUUUGCUGCUCCAAAGGUGGCACGAGAGACUUGGCGAAGAAUUAAAAUAUUUAAGACAAAAGUAAUAACUUUCGAGGCUGUUUGAAAAAAAAUCAAGUACUUUAGCCCUUUCUGUGCUCUUUCAUACAAAGUAUUUG